UGAUAGUUUUUAAAGGGCCGCGGUAAUUUGACCGUGCAAAGGUAGCAUAAUCGUUAGUUUUUUAAUUGGAAUCUUGUAUGAAUGGUUGAACAAAAGAAUAACUGUCUCUAUGUUUUUAUUGAAUUUAACUUUUAAGUGAAAAGGCUUAGAUAUUUUAAAAAGACGAUAAGACCCUAUAAAGCUUGAUAAAUUUUGUUAUUUAGCUAAAUUAGUGUUUAUAAAAGUUUAGUGAUAAUGAUUUAUUUUAUUGGGGCGAUAAUGAUAAAAUGUUUGUUAACUGUUAACAAAAAAGACACGGUUUGAUGUGUAAGUUUAUAAAUGAUCCUUAAAUUAAGAUUUAAAGAUUAAGUUACUUUAGGGAUAACAGCGUUAUUUUUUUUGAGAGUUCAUAUCGAAAAAAAAGUUUGCGACCUCGAUGUUGAAUUAAAAUUUCUAUAUAGUUGCAGAAGUUAUAUUAGAGGGUCUGUUCGACCUUUAAAUUUUUA
rnacentral:rRNA from 1 species